rnacentral:rRNA from 1 species
AGUGAACGCUGGCGGUAGGCCUAACACAUGCAAGUCGAACGGCAGCACAGUAAGAGCUUGCUCUUACGGGUGGCGAGUGGCGGACGGGGGAGGAAUACAUCGGAAUCUACUUUUUCGUGGGGGAUAACGUAGGGAAACUUACGCUAAUACCGCAUACGACCUACGGGUGAAAGCAGGGGAUCUUCGGACCUUGCGCGAUUGAAUGAGCCGAUGUCGGAUUAGCGAGUUGGCGGGGUAAAGGCCCACCAAGGCGACGAUCCGUAGCUGGUCUGAGAGGAUGAUCAGCCACACUGGAACUGAGACACGGUCCAGACUCCUACGGGAGGCAGCAGUGGGGAAUAUUGGACAAUGGGCGCAAGCCUGAUCCAGCCAUACCGCGUGGGUGAAGAAGGCCUUCGGGUUGUAAAGCCCUUUUGUUGGGAAAGAAAAGCAGCAGGUUAAUACCCCGCUGUUCUGACGGUACCCAAAGAAUAAGCACCGGCUAACUUCGUG